rnacentral:rRNA from 1 species
AUUGAACGCUGGCGGCAGGCCUAACACAUGCAAGUCGAGCGGAUGAAGGGAGCUUGCUCCUGGAUUCAGCGGCGGACGGGUGAGUAAUGCCUAGGAAUCUGCCUGGUAGUGGGGGAUAACGUCCGGAAACGGGCGCUAAUACCGCAUACGUCCUGAGGGAGAAAGUGGGGGAUCUUCGGACCUCACGCUAUCAGAUGAGCCUAGGUCGGAUUAGCUAGUUGGUGGGGUAAAGGCCUACCAAGGCGACGAUCCGUAACUGGUCUGAGAGGAUGAUCAGGCACACUGGAAGUGAGACACGGUCCAGACUCCUACGGGAGGCAGCAGUGGGGAAUAUUGGACAAUGGGCGAAAGCCUGAUCCAGCCAUGCCGCGGGUGUGAAGAAGGUCUUCGGAUUGUAGAGCACUUUAAGUUGGGAGGAAGGGCAGUAAGUUAAUACCUUGCUGUUUUGACGUUACCAACAGAAUAAGCACCGGCUAACUUCGUG